ensembl:lncRNA
CUGAGAUCAGACCGGAUAGUCAUUCUAGACCAAUCAGGUCUGAAUAGCACUUUUACUGGACCAAUGUAUUGUUGUUUUGAAGUUCAUUCUCUUUAUUAAUUUUAUUUCUUAAUCUUUUGUUUGUUUCAUCUUUUGAAGUCAGUGUGGUGAGAUGGUAUCCUAGGGUUAAUGGUGAUGGUAUCCUAGGGUUAAUGGUAUCCUAGGGUUAAUGGUGAUGGUAUCCUGGGGUUAAUAGUGAUGGUAUCCUAGGGUUAAUGGUAUCCUAGGGUUAAUGGUGAUGGUAUCCUAGGGUUAAUGGUAUCCUAGGGUUAAUGGUGAUGGUAUCCUAGGGUUAAUGGUAUCCUAGGGUUAAUGGUAUCCUAGGGUUAAUGGUAUCCUAGGGUUAAUGGUGAUGGUAUCCAAGGGUUAAUGAUAUCCCAGGGUUAAUGGUAUCCUAGGGUUAAUGGUAUCCUAGGGUUAAUGGUAUCCUAGGGUUAAUGGUAUCCUAGGGUUAAUGGUAUCCUGGGGUUAAUGGUAUCCUGGGGUUAAUGGUGACUGUAUCCUAGGGUUAAUGGUGAUGGUAUCCUGGGGUUAAUGGUGAUGGUAUCCUAGGGUUAAUGGAAUCCUAGGGUUAAUGGUGUCCUAGGGUUAAUGGUGAUGGUAUCAUAGGGUUAAUGAUAUCAUAGGGUUAAUGGUGAUGGUAUCCUAGGGUUAAUGGUAUCCUGGGGUUAAUGGUGAUGGUAUCCUGGGGUUAAUGGUGAUGGUAUCCUAGGGUUAAUGGUGAUGGUAUCCUGGGGUUAAUGGUGAUGGUAUCCUAGGGUUAAUGGUAUCCUAGGGUUAAUGGUGAUGGUAUCCUGGGGUUAAUGGUGAUGGUAUCCUAGGGUUAAUGGUAUCCUAGGGUUAAUGGUGAUGGUAUCCUAGGGUUAAUGGUGAUGGUAUCCUAGGGUUAAUGGUAUCCUAGGGUUAAUGGUGAUGGUAUCCUAGGGUUAAUGGUGAUGGUAUCCUAGGGUUAAUGGUAUCCUAGGGUUAAUGGUGAUGGUAUCCUAGGGUUAAUGGUGAUGGUAUCCUAGGGUUAAUGGUAUCCUAGGGUUAAUGGUGAUGGUAUCCUAGGGUUAAUGGUGAUGGUAUCCUGGGGUUAAUGGUGAUGGUAUCCUAGGGUUAAUGGUGAUGGUAUCCUGGGGUUAAUGGUGAUGGUAUCCUGGGGUUAAUGGUGAUGGUAUCCUAGGGUUAAUGGUGAUGGUAUCCUAGGGUUAAUGGUGAUGGUAUCCUAGGGUUAAUGGUGAUGGUAUCCUAGGGUUAAUGGUAUCCUAGGGUUAAUGGUGAGGGUAUCCUAGGGUUAAUGGUAUCCUAGGGUUAAUGGUGAUGGUAUCCUAGGGUUAAUGGUGAUGGUAUCCUAGGGUUAAUUGAGUAUGCUAGAUCUUGGGGUUUGGUAGCAGUCAUUAAAACACAGCUUUCUGAAUGUACAGGGUAUAAUGUAUUUUAACUCUUAUUUCACAUGCAAUGUAAAUCUACAUAUACAGAAUUUUAAUGCUCCCUGUAAAUUAUUUUGUCACUCUUACUAUCCAUGUCACGCGCACCAUCCACCUACAUACAAUACAUGGACACAUUGUUAUUCAUACACUUAUUACACACACUCUCCCAAUUCAUCAUUUAUUUAUUUUCUGACCUCUUAAACUAACUGCGGUAGAAAGAUCAGAAUUAUAACACAUAACCGUUUGACAUUACUAACGUCAAUAUCAACCUCCCAUAAAAUAUUCCAUUGGACCAUAUGGAUUCCAGUGAGGAAGCAAUGGUGUGCAUGCUAUAAUUUUGUAUUUUUUUUUAUGCCAAUAAAAUGAUCUCUGUUUGAAUUCUGUGUUGUAGUAUUCAUGCUCUGC